rnacentral:tRNA from 1 species
UGUGGAUGUAGCCCAGUGGUAGAGUACUUGCCUAGAGUUCACAAGGUCCUGGGGUUUGAUUCCCAGCACCACAA